rnacentral:rRNA from 1 species
GAUGAACGCUGGCGGCGUGCUUAACACAUGCAAGUCGAGCGAAGUAGUUAAGAAGAUUCUUCGGAUGAUUCUUAACUGACUGAGCGGCGGACGGGUGAGUAACGCGUGGGUGACCUGCCCCAUACCGGGGGAUAACAGCUGGAAACGGCUGCUGAUACCGCAUAAGCGCACAGAGCUGCAUGGCUCGGUGUGAAAAACUCCGGUGGUAUGGGAUGGGCCCGCGUCUGAUUAGGCAGUUGGCGGGGUAACGGCCCACCAAACCGACGAUCAGUAGCCGGCCUGAGAGGGCGACCGGCCACAUUGGGACUGAGACACGGCCCAAACUCCUACGGGAGGCAGCAGUGGGGAAUAUUGCACAAUGGGGGAAACCCUGAUGCAGCGACGCCGCGUGAGCGAAGAAGUAUUUCGGUAUGUAAAGCUCUAUCAGCAGGGAAGAUAAUGACGGUACCUGACUAAGAAGCCCCGGCUAACUACGUGCCAGCAGCCGCGGUAAUACGUAGGGGGCAAGCGUUAUCCGGAUUUACUGGGUGUAAAGGGAGCGUAGACGGCAAGGCAAGUCUGAUGUGAAAACCCAGGGCUUAACCCUGGGACUGCAUUGGAAACUGUCUGGCUCGAGUGCCGGAGAGGUAAGCGGAAUUCCUAGUGUAGCGGUGAAAUGCGUAGAUAUUAGGAAGAACACCAGUGGCGAAGGCGGC